UGUUCGAGCGUCAUUAUGACCACUCAAGCCCCCGGCUUGGUGUUGGGGCCCGCGGUUCUGCGGCCCUUAAAACCAGUGGCGGUGCCAUUGGGCUCUAAGCGUAGUAAUACUCCUCGCUAUAGAGUCUCGGUAGGCGCUUGCCAGCAACCCCCCAUCUCACGGUUGACCUCGGAUCAGGUAGGGAUACCCGCUGAACUUAA
rnacentral:misc_RNA from 1 species